GUAGUUUAAAAUAUAUGUAGUAUUGAUUUAUUACGAAAGUAUGGACAUAAACAGUAGAUUAAUACAGGUGAUCAAUACUUUAUAUACAUGUUUUUACUAUUGUGAUGUCAUAUCGACUGUUUAGUUGUGAUGUAAGUCUUGUGAUGUCAUUUCGUAUAUCUGUGUGAUGUAGAUUUGGUACAGGAGUUUCAUUGGACGAUUAUGUCACAAGGGAUUAAUUCUAUUUUCUGAUUGGUUAGAUUUGACCGAGGGAAAUUACAAAAUUUUGAUAUUGUUUGAGAGAAAGCACUGGAUCAUUUUGUCUUGUGUAACUUUCGGAAAUUUAUUAUAUUUCUGUGAUUAUUUAUUAGGAAAUGUUCCUGUUGUCUCUAAGAAUAAAGAUUUAAAUGUUGACAGUUGAAUUAUUGUUACCAGUACGUGUGGUAUUAUAACCUAAGUCCCAUGAUAGACAGGGUUAUAUUCUUACCAUCUAUUAAAUAUUUCCUGUACACAAGGGUGUCUAGUUUUUGUGAUUAGCCAGUGGCCACCCCUGUUACACCUGCUAUACGGAAGGAAAAUAACCACAACUCCGUAUCCGCAAACAGACGUUCAAGAUACAGCUAAUAUUUGCAGUGGAAAAUCGGAGAUCUUGAAACGUGCUCAACUACAGAGAAACAUACUGGACAAUUUUUGGAACCGUUGGAAAAAGGAAUAUCUCACGUCAUUACGAGAAUUCCAUCGGACUACAGGAAACAACGACAGAGCAGUCAACACUGGUGAUGUCGUGCAUAUUCAUGAAGACAUGUUACCAAGAAGCAAAUGAAAACUAGCAAUCGUCGAGGAACUGGUGACGGGAAACGAUGGACACGUCAGAUCUGCCGUAGUGAGAACUAGCAAAGGACAUACAACGCGACCCAUUGUUAAACUCUAUCCAAUUGAAGUGAAUGGAAAAACUGACCGUGUACGAACUAACGAUCCUAUCGAUCACGUUAAAUCUGACGAAAAUACAGGUCGUACUUUAUCAAAAAGAGAAGCAUCAGUCCGAGCGAAUGAAAGAAUUCACAAGUGGAUACAUGGACAAUAAUUUGUCAAAGUUAAAGUUAAAUUCAGUGAAAUCUAAUAUUGACAGUUAAAAGUUAAUUUCACUUUCUACCGUAAGUUACCAUAGACAAUUUUGAGAAUUAUUUCAUUUAAAAUAAUUAAUUGGUAACUAGAAAAUUGAUUUUUUAUAUAAUUGUUUUUAUUUUCUUUUGCGCGCCCGGAGAAUGUCGUGAAUAUAGCGCGAACUACGUUCCUAUGUUAAUGUACUUUUGUUUGUCUACGUCGGAACGUCAAUGACGUCGGCGUGGGCGGAAGUUAUUCUAUAUGUUAUUAAAUGGUAGACUUGAA